rnacentral:rRNA from 1 species
UACGAAGGGGGCUAGCGUUGUUCGGAAUCACUGGGCGUAAAGGGCGCGUAGGCGGCUUUGUAAGUCGGGGGUGAAAGCCUGUGGCUCAACCACAGAAUUGCCUUCGAUACUGCAUGGCUUGAGACCGGAAGAGGUUAGUGGAACUGCGAGUGUAGAGGUGAAAUUCGUAGAUAUUCGCAAGAACACCAGUGGCGAAGGCGGCUCACUGGCCCAUUACUGACGCUGAGGCACGAAAGCGUGGGGAGCAAACAGG